GACGAACGCUGGCGGCGUGCUUAACACAUGCAAGUCGAGCGGUAAGGCCCUUUCGGGGGUACACGAGCGGCGAACGGGUGAGUAACACGUGGGUGACCUGCCCUCAGCUCUGGGAUAAGCCCGGGAAACUGGGUCUAAUACUGGAUAUGACUCCACGGUGCAUGCCGUGGGGUGGAAAGCCUUGUGCGGCUGAGGAUGGGCCCGCGGCCUAUCAGCUUGUUGGUGGGGUGAUGGCCUACCAAGGCGACGACGGGUAGCCGGCCUGAGAGGGCGACCGGCCACACUGGGACUGAGACACGGCCCAGACUCCUACGGGAGGCAGCAGGUGGGGAAUAUU
rnacentral:rRNA from 1 species